AAUCAACGCUGGCGGCGUGCCUAACACAUGCAAGUCGAACGCGAAAGCCCUUUCGAGGGUGAGUAGAGUGGCGUCCGGGUGAGUAACACGUAGGUAAUCUACCUCCGGGUGGGGAAUAACGUCUCGAAAGAGACGCUAAUACCGCAUAAUGCAGCGGCACCUAAUGGUGAUUAGUUGUUAAAGCGGGGGACCCUUCGGGGCCUCGUGCCUGGAGAGGAGCCUGCGGCAGAUUAGCUAGUUGGUGAGGUAAUGGCUCACCAAGGCUUCGAUCUGUAGCUGGUCUGAGAGGACGGCCAGCCACACUGGCACUGACACACGGGCCAGACUCCUAC
rnacentral:rRNA from 1 species